rnacentral:tRNA from 1 species
GCCUGGGUGGCUCAUUUGGUGAAGCAUCUGACUUGGGCUCAGGUCGUGAUCUCAUAGAUCAUGGGUUCGAGUCCCGUGUCGGGCU